CAGGGUCAUCUUGACCCAAGUCCGGCGAUGAAGAGAGCAUUCUUGGACAGUGUAUAAUAGCCAACUGUCAUGGAGUUGCUCUCUUUACCGACUGUGGCUAAUGACGUCACGCCAAAU
rnacentral:precursor_RNA from 9 species